rnacentral:rRNA from 1 species
UACAGAGGUCUCAAGCGUUGUUCGGAUUCAUUGGGCGUAAAGGGUGCGUAGGUGGCGCUGUAAGUCGGGUGUGAAAUUUCGGAGCUUAACUCCGAAACUGCAUUCGAUACUGCGGUGCUUGAGGACUGGAGAGGAGACUGGAAUUCAUGGUGUAGCAGUGAAAUGCGUAGAGAUCAUGAGGAAGACCAGUGGCGAAGGCGGGUCUCUGGACAGUUCCUGACACUGGAGGCACGAAGGCCAGGGGAGCAAACGGGG